rnacentral:rRNA from 1 species
GACGGAGGGUGCUAGCGUUGUUCGGAAUCACUGGGCGUAAAGGGUGCGUAGGCGGGUCUUUAAGUCAGGGGUGAAAUCCUGGAGCUCAACUCCAGAACUGCCUUCGAUACUGGAAAGCUCGAGUCCGGGAGAGGUGAGUGGAACUGCGAGUGUAGAGGUGAAAUUCGUAGAUAUUCGCAAGAACACCAGUGGCGAAGGUGGCUCACUGGCCCGGUACUGACGCUGAGGUGCGAAAGCGUGGGGAGCAAACAGG